rnacentral:rRNA from 1 species
GACGAACGCUGGCGGCGUGCCUAAUACAUGCAAGUCGAACGCUUCUUUCCUCCCGAGUGCUUGCACUCGAUUGGAAAGAGGAGUGGCGGACGGGUGAGUAACACGUGGGUAACCUACCCAUCAGAGGGGGAUAACACUUGGAAACAGGUGCUAAUACCGCAUAACAGUUUAUGCCGCAUGGCAUAAGAGUGAAAGGCGCUUUCGGGUGUCGCUGAUGGAUGGACCCGCGGUGCAUUAGCUAGUUGGUGAGGUAACGGCUCACCAAGGCAACGAUGCAUGGCCGACCUGAGAGGGUGAUCGGCCACACUGGGACUGAGACACGGCCCAGACUCCUACGGGAGGCAGCAGUAGGGAAUCUUCGGCAAUGGACGAAAGUCUGACCGAGCAACGCCGCGUGAGUGAAGAAGGUUUUCGGAUCGUAAAACUCUGUUGUUAGAGAAGAACAAGGACGUUAGUAACUGGACGUCCCCUGACGGUAUCUAACUAGAAAGCCACGGCUAACUACGUGCCAGCCGCCGCCGUAA